rnacentral:rRNA from 1 species
AUACGGAGGGUGCGAGCGUUAUUCGGAAUUACUGGGCGUAAAGCGCGUGUAGGCGGCUUGACAAGUCUGAUGUGAAAGCCCUGGGCUCAACCUGGGAAGUGCAUUGGAAACUGUUAGGCUUGAGUACUGGAGAGGAUGGGGGAAUUCCCGGUGUAGAGGUGAAAUUCGUAGAGAUCGGGAGGAAUAUCAGUGGCGAAGGCGCCCAUCUGGACGGUAACUGACGCUGAGACGCGAAAGCGUGGGGAGC